UCAUCAUCCAUCUCGCAAUUCUCCUUUAAUCUUUGAGUUCUCUGAUCGAUGGACGACAUCUCGAUCACGUACAUCAAGCGCGUUACACGUUCUUGUACUGUGCUAAAUAAAGAGACAUAAGGUAGAAGCUAGUGGCUGAUGGCUUCUGUUCAUCAGAUGUGCUCAAAGUUUGCAGCAAUCUAGCCAAGAAAAAGCACAUCCUCGAUCGCGACGGCUACGAUCGUUACGUGGGCAAAUAUGAUCCUAGCAAGCAACCAGCUGCCUGGUUGCAAGAUUAUCUACCCUUCACCCGAUUUAAAAUUUGGCCGAUGCCCUUUUUUUCAACCUUCCGUUUUUGUUUUUGUUUUGAGACGACGGCUCCGAGUCAUUGGACACUCAUCCAAUGACUUAUAAUCUUUGUGAGUCACAGUGACGUUUUUAAGAGGUGAACGAGGAUAUUUAGGAACUAAAUUAAAUUGGUUUUAAAAAUUUCACAAGAUAAAUAUAUCUUAAUUUCUAUCUAAAUGCAUUUUAGGUUUAUCUAGCGUGUCUACUCUACCCCUCAAGAGGAUUGCAACCUACUCUAGCAAGGUAAAUUGCAAAUAUGUAAAUAUGAAAACGUAAAUAAUAUAAAGAGACAAACUCGGCACAAAGGAUUUUUAUCCCGUGUUAUCGAUGGUAUGAAUAUUACCUCAAAUCCACAUUGGAGCUCUACAAAGGAUAUGCUCCCGGUCAUCAAGUCUCUUUCGAUUACAGUUCUUGAGCUAUCAAGUCACCAAGAUAACGUCUCAAGCACGAUGACCACUAAGACAAGAUCUCACCAUUAGUAUCUCCUUCGAUCACUUAUCGCCGUGAUCACUUCGGAGCUUGAGCCAUCAAUACAAGGGUCUCCGUGUUCCCAUACAUGUGUCUUGAAAUCGCUUCAUAGUAAUUCGAAGGGUCAAUAAGCUUGAGCUACUAAGGCCCAAAAUGCCAACGAGUUAUCAAGACUCUAAGGCACUGACGUAACACUCGGUAUAAACUAGGAUCACUCUUUGAUCCCUUCUUCAAGCUGCAGUACUCAACUACAACUCACUCUAGUCCUAUAAGCACUAAAUACUCUCUAAUCUUGUGCUUACUUACUUUGGAUAAUCACUUUAAGCACUUUGUUGACUUGGAUAUCUUCUCAAGUGUAUAUGAGCUUCCUCUAGACUCUAGCAGUAUGCCACACCUCCAAAUGACUGAGUAGAGGGGUAUUUAUAGUCUCAAACCUACCAACUAGCCAUUUUACCAAUGGCUCGAAAAAUCUGUUAACACCAUAUGAUCCGUUGAGAAUAGUAGUACUAACAUCGGAUCAUCUUAUGAGUACAAACUCAGAAACUAGCUGUUGGAACUCUACUCACGGCCAUUGUGAACACCGGACACUCCAAUGUGCCUUCAAAUCUAUCACCAGAUCUUCCGGUGAGCUAUCUUGAGCCAUCCGAGCCUUUGCAGCCUCUUUAUGUAAAAUGUUCUGGUGUAUUCAUCUGAUGUUCAUUCUAUUCACACAAGACCAUCCGAUGAGUUAAAUAUUCUUUUUUUUCUCCUAGAAAUGCUCCUGUGCAAUUAUCUCUAUGAUCACCGGACUAUCCGGUGAGUUUAUUUUCAUUCUUCAAUACUUGCAGUCGCCUCUACAAGAAAUGCUCAGGUGCCAUACUCCGGUGUGCACAAAUCAAGCACCAGACCUUCCGAUCAUCGGACUAUCCAGUGAGGUCCUCAGCCUUCUCCCUCUUUGUCAGAUAUACUCUGUUGAGUUUAACACACAGAGCACCAGACAUUCUGGUAAAGUCAUCAGCCUUCACUUUACCUCUGGACAUAAUGCUUCGGUUAGUGCAAACUCCUCUACACCGGACCUUUCGAUGAGGCAAAUCUUUCUGGGACUUUUUCAAUUCAAUCAAACUUUGUCUCGGCUACGAUGGCUUCUUGAUGUAUUACAUCCAUAAAAUCUACUAACAUAUAUUCUUAACAAAUAUAUUAGUCCCAAUGACUAUGUUAUCAUUAAUCACUAAAAUUACAAUCAUGACCUAAUAGGACUAUUUUCGCUACAAUCUUUCUCUUUUUGGUGAUUGAUGACAACACAAACAAAACAAGUAACAAAUAAUAAAUAAUACCAAUCAUAAAGAGCAUAAUGUCUUACCGUAUUGUUUGGAUGCAUGUUCUUACUAUUUAGCCCCAUUUGUUGUGGCUUCCCUUUAUCUAUUGUUAUUAUCUUCCUUGAUCGACCCAUGCAAGAGCUUUCCCCUUUUGUCAACUUCAACAUUUCUAGACAUCUUAUAUUGUGCUUCUUGCUUUGCUUAGUAAACUUCUCCCAGUUUGUCAAUAAUUAAAAAAUAAUAAUUACAAACAAAUGUUGAACUUGAGGAAGAGUAUUAUAGCACAUGAGAGAGCUUCAUAAAUCAUGAUCCAAUAAAAUAAUACUAAUUGAAAAGAUAUACCAAUUGUAAGAAUAUGAGAUAUUGAUAUCAAUUGAAAAAGACAAAAAUAGAUCAUAAUUCAUGAAACUCACAUGAUAUAAUUUAAACCCCUUCUUUUUGUGUGCAUACAUAUAACGAGACCUACUUAUGAGUACUAUUUAUAGGAAUAUAACAAUAUAUGCACAUCUAGACAAUAAGUAGAGGUAUGAAGUUUAAGUCAUAUCAUGCAUGAAGUAGCUUAAAUAUAGAAAUGAAUUGACAAUGAUACCAAUUAAAGUAUUUAAGCAUUGUAUACCUUUAGGGAUGUGUUGAUUUCUUCAUGAGACUACAAAAGAUAUGUCUAGCAAUACAUGUUAGUCUCAAAAUCACAAUUUAUAGGGUAUACUCCCUUAAAUGUGUGCAUACAAGUUUUGAAUACCUGCGAAACAUAUGUACUUGUUAUUAAUAACAAUA